GACGAACGCUGGCGGCGUGCUUAACACAUGCAAGUCGAACGCUGAAGCUCAGCUUUUGUUGGGUGGAUGAGUGGCGAACGGGUGAGUAACACGUGAGUAACCUGCCCCCUUCUUUGGGAUAACGCCCGGAAACGGGUGCUAAUACUGGAUAUUCACUGGUCUUCGCAUGGGGGUUGGUGGAAAGGGUUUUUCUGGUGGGGGAUGGGCUCGCGGCCUAUCAGCUUGUUGGUGGGGUGAUGGCCUACCAAGGCUUUGACGGGUAGCCGGCCUGAGAGGGUGACCGGUCACAUUGGGACUGAGAUACGGCCCAGACUCCUACGGGGGGCAGCAGUGGGGAAUAUUGCACAAUGGGCGCAAGCCUGAUGCAGCGACGCCGCGGGAGGGAUGGAGGCCUUCGGGUUGUGAACCUCUUUCGCUCAUGGUCAAGCCGCAACAAUGGUUGUGGUGAGGGUAGUGGGUAAAGAAGCGCCGGCUAACUACGUG
rnacentral:rRNA from 1 species